CUCCGACUCAGGAGGAAUACCGGUGGCGAAGGCGGCCCCUGGACGAAGACUGACGCUCAGGUGCGAAAGCGUGGGAGCAAACAGGAUUAGAUACCCUGGUAGUCCACGCCGUAAACGAUGUCGACUUGGAGGUUGUGCCCUUGAGGCGUGGCUUCCGGAGCUAACGCGUUAAGUCGACCGCCUGGGGAGUACGGCCGCAAGGUUAAAACUCAAAUGAAUUGACGGGGGCCCGCACAAGCGGUGGAGCAUGUGGUUUAAUUCGAUGCAACGCGAAGAACCUUACCUGGUCUUGACAUCCACAGAACUUUCCAGAGAUGGAUUGGUGCCUUCGGGAACUGUGAGACAGGUGCUGCAUGGCUGUCGUCAGCUCGUGUUGUGAAAUGUUGGGUUAAGUCCCGCAACGAGCGCAACCCUUAUCCUUUGUUGCCAGCGGUCCGGCCGGGAACUCAAAGGAGACUGCCAGUGAUAAACUGGAGGAAGGUGGGGAUGACGUCAAGUCAUCAUGGCCCUUACGACCAGGGCUACACACGUGCUACAAUGGCGCAUACAAAGAGAAGCGACCUCGCGAGAGCAAGCGGACCUCAUAAAGUGCGUCGUAGUCCGGAUUGGAGUCUGCAACUCGACUCCAUGAAGUCGGAAUCGCUAGUAAUCGUGGAUCAGAAUGCCACGGUGAAUACGUUCCCGGGCCUUGUACACACCGCCCGUCACACCAUGGGAGUGAGUUGCAAAAGAAGUAGGUAGCUUAACCUUCGGGAGGGCGCUUACCACUUUGUGAUUCAUGACUGGGGUGAAGUCGUAACAAGGUAACCGUAGGGGAACCUGCGGUUG
rnacentral:rRNA from 1 species